GGAGAGGUGGCCGAGUGGUCGAAGGCGCUCCCCUGCUAAGGGAGUAGGCCCGGAAGGGUCUCGAGGGUUCGAAUCCCUUCCUCUCCGCCA
rnacentral:tRNA from 5 species